AUUGAAACGCCUGUUCUCAUACGAUAAUCGAAGUUAAGCAACGUUCAGCCUGGUCAGUACCUAGAUGGGUGACCGCUUGGGAAUGAC